CAGCAGCCGCGGUAAUACGAAGGGUGUAAGCGUUAAUCGGAAUUACUGGGCGUAAAGCGUGCGUAGGCGGUUUGUUAAGUCUGCUGUGAAAUCCCCGGGCUCAACCUGGGAAUGGCAGUGGAUACUGGCAAGCUAGAGUGUGUCAGAGGAUGGUGGAAUUCCCGGUGUAGCGGUGAAAUGCGUAGAGAUCGGGAGGAACAUCAGUGGCGAAGGCGGCCAUCUGGGACAACACUGACGCUGAGGCUCGAAAGCGUGGGGAGCAAACAGGAUUAGAUACCCCUGUAGUCCCUGUCUCUUAUAC
rnacentral:rRNA from 1 species